UGCAAGUCGAGCGAACGGACCUCAGAAAGCUUGCUUUCAGAGGCGAGUUAGCGGCGAACGGGUGAGUAACGCGUAAACAAUCUGCCUUCGGGUCGCGGGAUAACAUCGGGAAACUGGUGCUAACACUGGAUAUUAUGACCACAUCGCAUGAUGGGGUUAUGAAACGGGGCUUCGGCUAGGCCUGAAGAUGAGUUUGCGCUCCAUUAGCUAGUUGGUGUGGUAACGGCGCACCAAGGCGACGAUGGGUAGCCGGCCUGAGAGGGUGAUCGGCCACAUUGGAACUGAGACACGGUCCAGACUCCUACGGGAGGCAGCAGUAGGGAAUAUUGCGCAAUGGGCGUCGAGCCUGACGCAGCGACGCCGCGUGAGUGAUGAAGGCCUUCGGGUCGUAAAGCUCUGUCAGCAGGGAAGAAGGUAGAGUAUGUGAAUAAUGUGCUUUACUUGACGGUACCUGCAGAGGAAGCCCCGGCUAAUUACGUGCCAGCAGCCGCGGUAACACGUAAGGGGCAAGCGCUGUCCGGAAUCACUGGGCGUACAGGGAGCGUAGGCGG
rnacentral:rRNA from 1 species